rnacentral:rRNA from 1 species
UACGGAGGGAGCGAACGUUGUUCGGAUUCACUGGGCGUAAAGGGCGUGUAGGCGGUCUGGCAAGUCAGGGGUGAAAUGCCACGGCUCAACCGUGGAAUUGCCUUUGAAACUACCGGACUUGAGGCCGUGAGAGGAGACUGGAAUUCCCAGUGUAGCGGUGAAAUGCAUAGAUAUUGGGAAGAACACCAGUGGCGAAGGCGAGUCUCUGGCACGGUUCUGACGCUGAUGCGCGAAAGCUAGGGGAGCAAACGGG